AUCCACAAGUCUGUCGAUGGAGCGCCUAUUGAGGUUCUAACCGAGGCACGCCUAUUGCUGGUUAAAAACUAUUUCCAAACACCCUCCUAGGCUUGAGCUUGACUUAGGCCGUCGAGAAUUUUUGGAAGAGCUUCCUUUAUUUAGGUGAAGCU